rnacentral:rRNA from 1 species
GUAGGGGGGCGAGCGUUGUCCGGGAUUUAUUGGGGCGUAAAGAGCUCGUAGGCGGCUCAGCAAGUCGGCCGUGAAAGCCUGAGGGCUCAACCUCAGGACGCCGGUCGAAACUGCUGUGGCUAGGGUUCGGUAGAGGAGAGUGGAAUUCCCGGUGUAGCGGUGAAAUGCGCAGAUAUCGGGAGGAACACCAGUAGCGAAGGCGGCUCUCUGGGCCGAUACCGACGCUGAGGAGCGAAAGCUAGGGGAGCGAACAGGAUUAGAUACCCUGGUAGUCCUAGCUGUAAACGUUGGGCACUAGGUGUGGCGGACUCAUUGACGUCUGCCGUGCCGAAGCUAACGCAUUAAGUGCCCCGCCUGGGGAGUACGGUCGCAAGGCUA